UCGGGAAUUUUGGGCAAUGGGGGAAACCCUGACCCAGCAACGCCGCGUGAAGGAUGAAGUAUUUCGGUAUGUAAACUUCGAAAGAAUAGGAAGAAUAAAUGACGGUACUAUUUAUAAGGUCCGGCUAACUACGUGCCAGCAGCCGCGGUAAUACGUAGGGACCAAGCGUUGUUCGGAUUUACUGGGCGUAAAGGGCGCGUAGGCGGCAUGACAAGUCACUUGUGAAAUCUCUGGGCUUAACCCAGAACGGCCAAGUGAUACUGUCGCGCUAGAGUGCAGAAGGGGCAAUCGGAAUUCUUGGUGUAGCGGUGAAAUGCGUAGAUAUGUGGAGGAAUACCGAUGGCGAAGGCAGCCCCCUGGGAUAACACUGACGCUCAUGCACGAAAGCGUGGGGAGCAAACAGGAUUAGAUACCCCAGUAGUCCCUGAGCGGGCUGGCAAGGCGCAU
rnacentral:rRNA from 1 species